rnacentral:ncRNA from 3 species
UGGGAGCAAAGCUUGCUCGCGAUGGUGGCAGACCAGUCAGCGGCAUUGUCGACUGGCUUAUCCCUAUCGCGAGCAGGCUUUGCUCCCA